UACGCAGGGGGCUAGCGUUGUUCGGAAUUACUGGGCGUAAAGCGCGCGCAGGCGGUCUUCCAAGUCAGUGGUGAAAGCCUGGAGCUCAACUCCAGAACUGCCAUUGAAACUGUUGGACUUGAGUACGAGAGAGGUGAGUGGAAUUCCCAGUGUAGAGGUGAAAUUCGUAGAUAUUGGGAAGAACACCAGUGGCGAAGGCGGCUCACUGGCUCGUAACUGACGCUCAGGCGCGACAGCGUGGGGAUCAAACAGG
rnacentral:rRNA from 1 species